GAUGAAGAACGUAGUAAAAUGCGAUACUUGGUGUGAAUUGCAGAAUCCCGUGAACCAUCGAGUUUUUGAACGCAAGUUGCGCCCGAAGCCUUUUGGCCGAGGGCACGUCUGCCUGGGCGUCACGCAUCGCGUCGCCCCCCACAAUUCUCCGUAAAGGGAACAUGUGUUUUGGGGGCGGAUAUUGGUCUCCCGUGCUCAUGGCGUGGUUGGCCGAAAUAGGAGUCCUUUCGAUGGACGCACGAACUAGUGGUGGUCGUAAAAACCCUCGUCUUUUGUUUCGUGCUGUUGCUCGCAAAGUAAACUCUUUAAAAACCCCAAUGUGUCGUCUCUUGACGACGCUUCGACCGCGACCCCAGGUCAGGCGGGACUACCCGCUGAGUUUAAGCAUAUCAAUAAGCGGAGGA
rnacentral:misc_RNA from 1 species